rnacentral:rRNA from 1 species
AUGCUUAAGGAAGUUAUUUUCCCAAGGUUUGGAGCCCCUAGAUAUUUAAUAACUGAUGGUGGUUCACACUUUAUUCAUGUUGCUUUUCGUAAGAUGCUUCCCAAGUAUGAUGUUAAUCAUAGAAUUGCAUCACUCUAUCAUCCUCAAUCUAGUGGUCAAGUUGAACUUAGCAAUAGAGAAAUAAAAUUAAUUUUGCAAAAGACUGUCAAUAGGUCCAGAAAGAAUUGGUCUAAGAAAUUAGAUGAUGCACUUUGGGCUUAUAGAACAGCACAUAAAAAUCCUAUGGGUAUGUCUUCUUAUAAAAUGGUUUAUGGAAAAGCUUGUCAUUUGCCUCUUGAGUUAGAACAUAAAGCAUUUUGGGCAGUCAAAGAACUCAACUAUGAUUUCAAACUUGCUGGUGAAAAGAGGUUAUUUGAUAUUAGCUCUCUA